CCCAGCGGAGCACGACGGCACGCGACCACGGAAACCUCUUCUUCCUCUCUUUCCCUUUCUCCUUUUCAUUCGAGCUCGAACAUUGUCUGUUUGAUUCGAACAGCUUGGAUGUAAGGCAGUGAUCAUCGCUUGUAAAGAGGGAUAAAUCGAAGCAUCGAAAAGAGGUUUCACGAGCAGGACGUUGUUUCGUCGCUAUUAUUACGCCACACAAAAUUGGUCAAUCACACGAAUACGAGUAAUUUACGUCAAAUGAACCUCACCAGGAAACUGUCCCGACUUGGAGCGUGACCGUUGUACGAUCUAUCGAUCCUGGUAUUAGCCGAGGGAUCCAUUAUGUUGCAGCUUCACCAUCUUCUCUAUGCAAAAAGAAUCUCGUGUAUCGUAAAAGCUGAUUACGCGUGCAUCUACGUUUACUUUUUAACACAUGGAAUCUCUAUUUUUGAGAAACGAACAUAAAAUCAAGGUUUUGUAUAAGAAAAAGGAAUUGGUUCUCGAAUCGAAGUCAAUACAUUUAUUUGGCUGGAUUUAAUUCAGACGUACAAGCAGGUUAAAUGAAGCUAACUCCAAGAUUUAUAAAAACAUAUAUGUAUCAUUGAAUUUCCUCUUUCGUACGCAAAAACAAGAUUCAUCAUGUUGGCAGAAAAUAAACAAUACGAUAAAAAAUUAUAGAGAUUCCUGUUGAAAAAAAAAAAAAAAAAAAGAAAAAUAAUUCUCGAGAAGUUUAUAUUGCCGACGACAGUACCCUUUUACAAAUUAAUGCGCGCUCGUGGGCGUAGACCCGCCACAUCUCGUGCACAAGCACACAGUUUUUCGUGAUGGGUCGGGCACGGGGAGGAAUCGGCUCAUUUGUUGCGUAUUAGCGGAGGAUAAUUAGGUUUCUCGAGGCUGCCGCCUUUUGCGAACCAAGCGACUUCAAGAGUCUUCCGAAAAAAAGAGAGGAGGGAAACGAAUGAGGUACGCCUACCCCUAGAAAUUUUCGUCGUGAGAAGGAAAAUCUCGAAAAUCACCGGUUGCCAGCCGAAAGUUAAUCGAUUCCAACGAUUCUACCAUUUUCCUUGUCGAUACAAUA